UACACACCGCCCGUCACACCAUGGGAGUUUGUUGCACCAGAAGCAGGUAGCUUAACCUUCGGGAGGGCGCUUGCCACGGUGUGGCCGACGACUGGGGUG
rnacentral:rRNA from 1 species